GGGUCAAUGGUGAAGUGGCGAUCAUGCUCCAUUAGGGAUUUUACUACUGUUCUUGUAACUGUGUGAAAUCUGAAUUUGGUGUGGUCCCGGGUUCGAUUCCCGGUUGACCCC
rfam:Candida albicans SC5314 chromosome 1 sequence.